CCAAUCAAAGAAUGUUAGCUAUAUGCAGUUAUCUUAGCCAGCCAGCUAACGUUUGCUAUAUAUCCUAAGCAGCAUAACCAACCAGCACGGUUAUGGUCAGCAGAGACCAACUACCGGAGACCAAUUAUAACCCAUCUAACAGUAAGCCAAGGUGUAAAAAGUUACAAAACUCCCGUAGUCGAAUUCACAGAAAACAUGCUGAAAAGUAGUGAUGGGGAAACAAAGCUUCCUGUAGCAUUGGCUCUUUCCAGAUAAUUGUUUUUAAAAAAUAGGUUCAUUACUCAAGGCUUUGAGCGACACAGAAAGAAUUUAGAACAGCCACAUUUUGAAAGAUGACGUCCCAUACCGUAACAGCGUAGCCUUCAUGUCUUCUACGAAACCACGGGCCUUGAUCGAGAGCAUUAAGUCCAUACUGCAUUGUGGGUAAACGGUGACUAGCUGACUGCAAAGUCGAACGAGCCCAAUACCAAACCAAUCAGGUGUUCGACGAAAUGAUUCUUCAGACGUCAUUGAUCACGUGCUGCUGAUAAAGGGACACUGCUUUGAAUUAUACCGCUUAGCGAAUUCAGUACAUGCCUCAUAGCUCCAGUCUCAAACUUAACCCCGUUCCUGAUGAUGAAGAAGAGGUGGUCUGCCUGCUGGAUGGAGAAAGACGCUCUCGUGGAAGAGGAGGCUGUUACAAUACAAAAACAAGUAGAGGUUGAGGCUGUUACCGUGAAAGAAGAAGAGAAAGAGGUCUCAGUUAAAGAAGAGGAAGACUCGUUCAGAGUCAAAGAGGAGGACGGCGACGUUUCAGUGAAAGAAGAGGAGGGGGAGGUGACUGUCAUAUCGGAAAAUGAAGAAGAGGAGGAAACUGGAUAUCUGGGCCCGGUUUCCCAAGCGCAUCUUAAGGCGUCCGAUGGUUCUAACGAUGAAGGGGCCCUGCUUAACACGAGAGAGAGACGGGACUACCGUGGAUCCUCUGGGGAGCCUCAACAACCUCAUGAUGCUGACAAGGCAGAGAAGAGUCUCUCCAGAUCAGAACCCCCCAAGAAACGCCUGCAGAGAUCCACAGGGAAGAGAACUCACUGCUGCUCUGACUGUGGGAAGAGAUUCACCUCAUCAGGCAUUACAAUUCAUCAGCGAACACACACAGGGGAGAAAUCUUAUAGCUGUGAUCAAUGUGGGAAGAGUUUUACUACAUCUGGCUCUCUGACUUUACACAGGAGAGAAACCUUAUAGCUGUACUCAAUGUGGGAAGUGUUUUACUCAGCUCAGCAGCCUAAUAACACACCAGAGAAUACACACAGGAGAGAAACCUUAUAGCUGUACUCAAUGUCGGAAGAGUUUUAAUAAUCCAUCCGGCCUGAUAUCACACCAGAGAACACACACAGGAGAGAAACCUUAUAGCUGUACUCAAUGUGGGAAGAGGUUUACUCAACAAUGCAACCUGAUAUCACACCAGAGAACACACACAGGAGAGAAAUCUUAUAGCUGUGAUGAAUGUGGGAAGAGUUUUGCCCAAUCUGGAGCGCUGACAGUGCACCAGAGAAUACACACAGGAGAGAAACCUUAUAGCUGUGGUCAAUGUGAGAAGAGUUUUGGUAAACUGGAGAUCUGAGAGUUCACCAGAGAACACACACAGGAGAGAAACCUUAUAGCUGUGGUCAAUGUGGGAAGAGUUUUGGUCAAUCUGGAGAUCUGAGAGUGCACCAGAGAACACACACAGGAGAGAGACCUUAUAGCUGUGAUCAAUGUGGGAAGAGUUUUGCCCAAUCUGGAGCGCUGACAGUGCACCAGAGAAUACACACAGGAGAGAGACCUUAUAGCUGUAGUCAAUGUGGGAACAGUUUUGCUGCAUCAAGAACUCUGACUCAACACCAGAGAAUACACACAAGAGAGAAAUCUUUUGUCUGUGAAUAAUGUGGGAAGAUUUUUGGCAAUCUGGCCAUCUGGUAUCACACCAGAGAGCACACACAGGAGAGAAAUCUUAUAGCUGUGAUCAGUGUGCCAAGAGAUACUUUAAUAAAAUAUCUCUGAUCAAACAUCAGAAAAUACAUACAUGAAGAAGUUGUUUCAUGAUAUCAAUGAAAAAAUGUCACAAUGUAGAAUGUUUUAACAUUGUAGUAGGAGUAUUUUAAUGACGUCACAAUGUAGAACCCUAAACAUUUGUCCCCUGUUCUAUUGAUGAGUUAUAACAAAUAAGUGUUGUGUUCCUUUGUUUAGUGACUCCUAAAUUUAAAUGCAUCACUCCAAAAUGUAGCUGACUAUCUUCUGCAGGUUGUCCUCUAACCAGUGAGGUAAAAGAUAUCUCCCAUUUCCAUGUGUUUUUUUAGUUGUGUUAGUUUCAACAGCACAUUCAACCUAAUUUCCCCUCUAAUCGAUAUCAGUGAUUUAUUGCUUCUUGUCAAAACAACAGCGUUUUUGGUGCUUGUGCAGUUUAUAAGGAGCUUGUUUUAAAAAAUACAAGAAAUAUGAUUAUUGUGGCAGAUGUUUGUCUAUAUAGCACAUUUUAUGUUUAGGUUUUCAAUUUAUCCCAAACUGUUUCUGAUAUUGGUUAUUGAUUUGGAGACGUUAAAACUGUGUUUUGACAUUGGGGAUAUCACACCUAGCAAAAUGUCAUUGAAAAGACGUUGAAAAUAAGACUAUGUAACCGAAUAUUUCAUAUUUACAUUUCAUGUAACAUUUAGUAAUCAUAAUUAUUUAUGCAACCAACUGACAAUUUUUGGGUACAAUUAUAUUGACGUUGUUGCCCUGCUUUUAAAAUAUCAGGGUUAAUUUUCCAGCCUGCUGAAGGUGUGGUGGAGUGGUAAACACCACCCCCUGCUCUCCCAGCUUGAGGUGGUCUCCCACAGCUCUGCUUAUGUCAUGUUCUGUGGCCUUGCCGUUCCAUUUCUUGACUGCCCCUGUAACACAGAAAUAAAUACAUUUAGUCAAAUUAUAUAAAACAUUAAAAGUAAUCGAUAUGGAGCAUCUAUGGCCUCAGUUACACCUUGCACCUAAAUGUGACUUCUGUCAUCUGAUCACUCCAAACUGCAUUAGGUUCAGAUCUACCAGGAUGGGCCUUUGACAGUCUGGAUGCAGUCAGGCCACUGAAUAUAAAUAAGCAACGUAAAGAGGUGGGGUGAAUGAGUGGGGAAAAGUACAUUCUACACAAAUGACCAUAAUAGCAAAGAACAAAUGUGUGUGCCUGAGACCUCCUGUCUCAGCCCCCAGUAUUUAUGCUGCAGUAGUUUGAGUCAGGGGGCUAGGGUCAGUUUGUUAUAUCUGGAGUACUUCUCCUGUCCUAUUCGGCGUCCUGUGUGAAUUUAAGUGUGCUCUCUCUAAUUCUCUCUUUCGGAGGACCUGAGUCCUAGGACCAUGCCUCAGGACUACCUGACACGAUGACUCCUUGCUGUCCCCAGUCCACCUGGCCGUGAUGCUGCUCCAGUUUCAACUGUUCUGCCUUAUUAUUAUUGGUCCAUGCUGGUCAUUUAUGAACAUUUGAACAUCUUGGCCAUGUUCUGUUAUAAUCUCCACCCGGCACAGCCAGAAGAGGACUGGCCACCCCACAUAGCCUGGUUCCUCUCUAGGUUUCUUCCUAGGUUUUGGCCUUUCUAGGGAGUUUUUCCUAGCUACCUUGCUUCUACACCUGCAUUGCUUGCUGUUUGGGGUUUUAGGCUGGGUUUCUGUACAGCACUUUCAGAUAUCAGCUGAUGUAUGAAGGGGUAUAUAAAUAAAAUCAUUAAAAACUGGAAA
ensembl:lncRNA